GAGGGGAGGGAGCCAACCCUAGUUCUUCAAGAAUCUUCAAAUUGAAGCUCAAUUCAGGCCCUAAAUCGAUGCAUGAACACAUAAAAACGAUCACCAAGCUUAGGGGAUCAUGAGUUUAACGCUUAACAAGCUAGGUGUGAGCUUGUGGAGGAAGCGGGUCAAACGGAUCAAGAACGAAAAGAAAAGCGUGGUUUAGAUGCAAGACAUGCAGGUUCCAGAGACGGACCUGCUGGAAAAUGGUUUCCCCGCGCCACGCGACGGAGGACAUAGCCCGGGGCGCGACACGCGACAACCGUCGCGACACGCGAUAGGUUUUGUGAACACCGUCGCUGCGACGGCUUAAAAUUUUGGAAAUUUUUGCUGAUCUUGUUGUUGGCUUAUUUUGACCCACAAACUGGUUCAAUAAUGUUUAUAAACGCCGAAUGACUAACUCAUUUCAUGUUUUAUGAAAUGUAGGUAUAUUAUACUGCAACGGAAGACGAUCAAGCUCGAAGAUGAACCGAACACAUGAAAAAGAAGCUUCUGCACAUUG